rnacentral:rRNA from 1 species
GACGAACCGUGCGAACGUUGUUCGGAAUCACUGGGCUUAAAGGGCGCGUAGGCGGCUUGUCAAGUCAGGGGUGAAAUCUCUCGGCUCAACCGGAAAAGUGCCUUUGAUACUGACAGGCUCGAGGGAGGUAGGGGUAUGUGGAACUUCUGGUGGAGCGGUGAAAUGCGUUGAUAUCAGAAGGAACGCCGGUGGCGAAAGCGACGUACUGGACCUCUUCUGACGCUGAGGCGCGAAAGCUAGGGGAGCAAACGGG